CAGAGAGGGUUCACCAGCUUGGCUGAGGUAGAGGUAACUGAUGAAGACAUAGGUGGAACUGUGAGUUGGAGUCAUAUUUCCCAGAGCCUUAAAUGACAAGAAAGGUCAAGCUCCUUGAUGUAAACAGUAUUUUUCUGCAGUGAGUACCUACAUACCAAAUUCCCUUGGGGAAGGGAUAUGGUUCAAAGAACUGAAGGGAGAAUGGAGAGAGGAGCCACCUGUAUCCAGUGUACUGGCCCUCUACCAUGAGUUAGGACACCUCAGGAAAUCACUCAGUAUCUCUGCAACUCAGCAGAUAAGAGCCACCAAUUACUGCAUGAACAAUUAAAAUGCUAGAAGGAUUUACCCAACUGCACUCUUGUUGUAGCUGAUUUGGAAUUUUAUUGACUCACUUUGUAUACUGCCAUAACAGAACCACCUUCACCACGUGUUUGAGAAGUCAAGAUUUACAUACCUUGUCACUUGCUCUUCAUCAUUGAUAAAAACUGAGGCCACCUUUACGUGUCCUAGGAUUCUAAAAAAAAAAAAAAAAAAAAAAAUUUUUUUUUUGCAAGGAUUAGCUGAGCAGUGGAAGCCUCUCAGGCAGAGGAAAGAAUUGCUAGCCUGAUCUUGGCAAGUUCUCUGACCUUCGGUUCUCAGCUUCCACACUUGAAAAAUGUGCACAGGGAUUCCUAGUCACCAGGAUGUACGAGGACUGAAUGGAAUGGUGCAUUUGGGGAAAGCACCCAUGUGGCAAGGGGAGUUGAAUUUAAUCUGAACCACUCUGUCUGGCCCUAUUCACUCUGAGAUUGUCAACAAAAAGCCCUACUUCAUUAAGAUGACCAUCAGAAAAGGAAAGUGUAAAGCAAGUAUUCAUUAAUUAAAUCAUUGAUUUGUCAACCACUGCCCAG
rnacentral:lncRNA from 1 species